CCAAUUCCUACCAGAUCCAUUUGUGAGGCGAAUUUCGUGGCGGAUUACUGACAGCAGGAAUCGUGAGAACUCACAAGAACUCGCAGAUUCACGUUCAAUCUCACGAUAACGAGUUGUCUCUAUAAAGACAGACACAUAGACAUAUAAGCAGUAGAUUGUGUCCUUCCAGAGGAGGAAAUCUACUUCUAGACUUCUAGAAUCAGCAUCUCCUCAUCCAUGGUGUCAUCGGGGUGAAAUGACGUCUAAAAACCUUUCACUUGUUCGUCUCCGCCCGUUUGCAUGGUGUGAAAUACGAUCCUCCUGAAACACGGAGUCUUUUAUUUUGAAAAGAAGCCGGAUGUUUUAUUUUGAAGUCUGUGCCCGACUUCCUUUCCAGCACGGGUUAAUCUGUGCUGAAUUUAUCCGCCAUGCUCCGGCGUCCAGAAAAAAUAGAACUCUUGUGAUCAGCUGAGGAGUCCGGCGAUCCGCAGAGGAACGGAAAGAAGUCGGUGUAAAUUGACACGUUAACU